AGCAGCCUGCGGUAAUUCCAGCUCCAAUAGCGUAUAUUAAAGUUGUUGCAGUUAAAAAGCUCGUAGUUGAAUUUCGGGGUUAGUAGGUUGGUCAUGCCUCUGGUAUGUACUGGUCUCACUGAUUCCUCCUUCCUGAUGAGCCGUAAUGCCAUUAAUUUGGUGUUGCGGGGAAUUUGGACUGUUACUUUGAAAAAAUUAGAGUGUUUAAAGCAAGCUAACGCUUGAAUACAUUAGCAUGGAAUAAUGAAAUAGGACGUUCGAUCCUAUUUUGUUGGUUUCUAGGAUUGACGUAAUGAUUAAUAGGGAUAGUUGGGGGCAUUAGUAUUCAAUUGUCAGAGGUGAAAUUCUUGGAUUUAUUGAAGACUAACUACUGCGAAAGCAUUUGCCAAGGAUGUUUUCAUUAAUCAAGAACGAAAGUUAGGGGAUCGAAGACGAUCAGAUACCGUCGUAGUCUUAACCAUAAACUAUGCCGACUAGGGAUCGGAUGAUGUUAAUUUUUUAAUGACUCA
rnacentral:rRNA from 1 species